GCUGGUGCUGCUGCUGCCCGGGAGCCCGGCCCGCGGCCCGGCGCGCAGGAGGAGGCAGGAGCUGGUGCUGGGGCAGCUCUGCUUGCUCGGCUCGCUCCUGCUGCUGCUCUCCUCGCUCUCCUGCUGGGCUGGCAGCGCCGGGUCCUGGGUUCUCCUGAGCUGCCAUGACCAGUUGUGGGUAUUACCUGAACUGAGCCACUUAUACUCAUUUCACUUGUGAUGAUGACCAAGACGAAACUCAGGUUUCCAGAAGAACUAGGCAUUUAGUCUCUGCCACUUACUCCUUUAAACUCCAUAGUUAGCGAAUGAAUGGUUAUGAUGUCCUGAGUUAUACCAUGGAAACUAAUGACAAGUGGCAUGGGAGAAAAGUACUUCAAGCAAUUGAGGAGAAUGCCACUGAAAUUCCAGAGGAUGACGAGCAUCAGUACAUCAAGAACUGCACUGAACCAGGGAAGGAUUUGACUAAGAUGAAGUUCCACUCUUUGAAGAUAAUGGGAAUCCUUCCAUCGGCUUCAGUGGAUUUGAGAUCAUCUCCUUUGUCGUGUGUAACUUUGAGUGCUGGACUGAAGGUGGAAACAUGA
ensembl:lncRNA